rnacentral:rRNA from 1 species
GAUGAACGCUGACAGAAUGCUUAACACAUGCAAGUCUACUUGAACUUCGGUUUGGGUGGCGGACGGGUGAGUUACGCGUAAAGAACUUGCCUCACAGUUAGGGACAACAUUUGGAAACGAAUGCUAAUACCUGAUAUUAUGAUUUUAGCGCAUCCUAGGCUUAUGAAAGCUAUAUGUGCUGGGAGAGAGCUUUGCGUCCCAUUAGCUAGUUGGAGAGGUAACGGCUCACCAAGGCGAUGAUGGGUAGCCGGCCUGAGAGGGUGAACGGCCACAAGGGGACUGAGACACGGCCCUUACUCCUACGGGAGGCAGCAGUGGGGAAUAUUGGACAAUGGACCAAAAGUCUGAUCCAGCAAUUCUGUGUGCACGAUGACGUUUUUCGGAAUGUAAAGUGCUUUCAGUUGGGAAGAAAAAAAUGACGGUACCAACAGAAGAAGUGACGGCUAAAUACGUG